ACGCUGGCGGCGUGCCUAAUACAUGCAAGUAGAACGCUGAAGAGAGGAGCUUGCUCUUCUUGGAUCAGUUGCGAACGGGUGAGUAACGCGUAGGUAACCUGCCUUGUAGCGGGGGAUAACUAUUGGAAACGAUAGCUAAUACCGCAUAACAAUAGGUGACACAUGUUAUUUAUUUGAAAGGGGCAAUUGCUCCACUACAAGAUGGACCUGCGUUGUAUUAGCUAGUAGGUGAGGUAACGGCUCACCUAGGCGACGAUACAUAGCCGACCUGAGAGGGUGAUCGGCCACACUGGGACUGAGACACGGCCCAGACUCCUACGGGAGGCAGCAGUAGGGAAUCUUCGGCAAUGGGGGCAACCCUGACCGAGCAACGCCGCGUGAGUGAAGAAGGUUUUCGGAUCGUAAAGCUCUGUUGUAAGUCAAGAACGAGUGUGAGAGUGGAAAGUUCACACUGUGACGGUAGCUUACCAGAAAGGGACGGCUAACUACGUGCCAGCAGCCGCGGUAAUACGUAGGUCCCGAGCGUUGUCCGGAUUUAUUGGGCGUAAAGCGAGCGCAGGCGGUUUGAUAAGUCUGAAGUUAAAGGCUGUGGCUCAACCAUAGUUCGCUUUGGAAACUGUCAAACUUGAGUGCAGAAGGGGAGAGUGGAAUUCCAUGUGUAGCGGUGAAAUGCGUAGAUAUAUGGAGGAACACCGGUGGCGAAAGCGGCUCUCUGGUCUGUAACUGACGCUGAGGCUCGAAAGCGUGGGGAGCGAACAGGAUUAGAUACCCUGGUAGUCCACGCCGUAAACGAUGAGUGCUAGGUGUUGGAUCCUUUCCGGGAUUCAGUGCCGCAGCUAACGCAUUAAGCACUCCGCCUGGGGAGUACGACCGCAAGGUUGAAACUCAAAGGAAUUGACGGG
rnacentral:rRNA from 1 species